CCUACGGGUGGCUGCAGUGGGGAAUUUUGGACAAUGGACGCAAGUCUGAUCCAGCCAUGCCGCGUGCGGGAAGAAGGCCUUCGGGUUGUAAACCGCUUUUGUCAGGGAAGAAAUCUUCUGGGUUAAUACCUCGGGAGGAUGACGGUACCUGAAGAAUAAGCACCGGCUAACUACGUGCCAGCAGCCGCGGUAAUACGUAGGGUGCAAGCGUUAAUCGGAAUUACUGGGCGUAAAGCGUGCGCAGGCGGUUGUGCAAGACAGGUGUGAAAUCCCCG
rnacentral:rRNA from 1 species